rnacentral:rRNA from 1 species
AUUGAACGCUGGCGGCAGGCUUAACACAUGCAAGUCGAACGAGUGGCGGAAGGGUGAGUAAUGCUUGGGAAUAUAGCUUAUGGAGGGGGAAAACUAAGGGAAAAUGUAGCUAAUACCGCGUAACAUAGGAAGAGGCCACGUGGGAUUGGGUAGUUGGUGAGGUAAAGGCUCACCAAGACGACUAUCUCGAGCUGGUCUGAGAGGAUGAGUUGCCACACUGGGACUGAUACACGGCCCAGACUCCUACGGGAGGCAGCAGUGGGGAAUAUUGCGCAAUGGGGGCAACCUGACGCAGCCAUGCCGCUUGAAUGAAGAAGGCCUUCGGGUUGUAAAGUUCUUUCGGUAGCGAGGCGUUAACUACAGAAGAAGCACCGGCUAACUCCGUGCCAGCAGCCGCGGUAAUAC